rnacentral:rRNA from 1 species
UACGUAGGGUGCGAGCGUUGUCCGGAAUUAUUGGGCGUAAAGAGCUCGUAGGCGGUGUGUCACGUCGGCCGUGAAAACCUGGGGCUUAACUCUGGGCGUGCGGUCGAUACGGGCAUCACUAGAGUUCGGCAGGGGAGACUGGAAUUCCUGGUGUAGCGGUGAAAUGCGCAGAUAUCAGGAGGAACACCGGUGGCGAGGGCGGGUCUCUGGGCCGAUACUGACGCUGAGGAGCGAAAGCAUGGGGAGCGAACAGG